rnacentral:lncRNA from 1 species
CCGCACAUUUCUUAAUGCUCAGUGAUGUCAAGUUUGAAAAGCCUGCAAUGUUAGGAGGUUAUCGAGGCAGAAUAACAGCUCAGAGGAUAUCUAAUACUGAAAGAGGAUGAUACCAGUAUAUCAUACAGUUGGCAGCAAACUCAGCUGUUGUGCUAUCAGCAUAACACUGACCUGAUAAUGUUUUAAGUCCAUGUUCUGAGAUUCGAUCACAGUAAUCACAUGCCAAACUUUGCAUGCUUGAGCAAUCUUUAAGAAGAUUCAAUCCACUAUCAGUCACAUCUGAGCAAGAGAUGUCAACAGAUAGCAAGGACUGCCCUUGAGAAGCCACUACUUCCA